rnacentral:lncRNA from 1 species
CAUCGAUUGAAAUACAAUCACCAACAGACCUAACUUCCUAUCUAAAUCCAUUUAAUAACUUUGAAACAAAACAUUAUCCAGCAGUUCCAGAACAUCAUUCCUCUUGACCAUCAGUUAGGAGGAACUAUCCGGCCAUCACUCUAUUCAAAGCAAUCCCAUCCUGCAAUGAAUGUCUAGAUCUUGUCUCCCAUCCUCUUAAAUGGAGGUCUUUGUCACCA